GAAAUCACGUGGAUUCAAAGUGCCUGCCCCAGGGCGCGCGGGUAGGGUGCCCGGAAUCCGCCGCCGCUUGGAGAUCUGCCUCUCUGACGACUACCAAGACAGGGGCAUAGUUGAGCUCCAUUUGUCAUGACUCCAUAGAAAGAAACACACCCCAAACCCUUUGAUGGCAUGCUGCUGGUUCUUGCUGCUUCUACAGACUCGGGAUGAUGGGCAGAAUGAUGUCAGCUGAGACAGACUCAUGGGGAGUUUCGCUCAGUCAGACUCACGUGCUGAGGCAAGACCCACGGAGGACACGUGAUGUUUGGAGGAGGUAUAAGUAGAACUCAACGGACUCUGAGAGGGCCUUGCUAACAGAGGCGAGCUCUGCAACACUUCUUGGCCCCGGGUCUUUGAUGAUCUUUGCUUUGUUGAGAGAGGCACCGCGGAGACCUUCUCCUGGUGUUCCUGUUGGUCCCAGUCCCCCCUGCUGACUCAUGCCAAUUCGGCUGAGGCCUGGCUAGAUCUGCUAGGUCUUGCCACCACUGCUGAUUUGUGUGUGCUAUCCUGAUCUACCGAACUGGACUGCUGGUAUAUUCAUGAAUCGAGCUGCUGCUGAGGACAACUGUACCGUUGAUUUCCUGAUAACGCAGAUGGAAUUUGCUCCAAAGAACCAUUUCUAAGCAGGACCAGUCAAGACCUAUUUGGGAUCCAGGCAGAAAUGUCUGACACCACCCCACGGACCAAGAUGACCCACCUCUCGCUGACAGAUCAAGGAUUAAGGAGGCAGAAUCACCAACAGAACAAGAUCUCUUGAAAGGACAUUUAUGACCUAGUGGCAGUCACCCAGGCCAUGUGACCUCCACAGACUUCCCUUUCCUCUAUUCUUAUGGCUGUUUUUGCUAUUCUUUAACUCUUCUCAGCUUCUUCCCAACCCUUUCAACACCCACCACUGGAGAUUCUUUUUUGUUUUGUUUUGUUUUGUUUUUUUGGAUUUGGUUUUUUCGAGACAGGGUUUCUCUGUAUAUCCCUGGCUGUCCUAGAACUCACUCUGUAGACCAGGCUGGCCUCAAACUAAGAAAUCUGCCUGCCUCUGCCUCCCGGAGUGCUGGGAUUACAGGCGUGUGCCAUCACCACCUAGCUUGGAGAUUCUUAGCUAGGGAGACUUAAUGACAGACACAACAAAAUCAUAGAAAUCCAGGACUGCCCACUUGAAGGGUGCUGGGCCAGAAUUGAGACUCCUCUACACACCAAUUCCAUCCCCAGCCCUUUCCUCUUCUUUCCUUACCACAACACAGGUGACUGCCUCCAGAGGCCUCCAUAUAUGGAGGUUGCAGAUAUUAGAGAUGCCAAAUUAAAGCCACCAGCCAUGGUGGCACCAUGUUCACCAACCCCACACUCAUUUUUAGCUCUCCACCAGCGAUCCCUGGGACGAUCGAUAUCGAUGACGAAUAGGAGUUGUAGGUAACCUCUACCCCAAUAGUUAUGCCAUACCUCAUAGCCAGCCCACACAUCUCUUGCCAGCCUGUCCCUGCCUCCAAGUUGGUCUUUACCCACAUUAACAUUAAUCAACAGAAGGAUCAAACUCAAAAAGAGAUUCCAGCCACCCUCUGCUGGCUACAAUAGAAUACAAUAGAAUUCCUCCUCUUACAAACGCACUCUGAACCCAGUCCAUGAUGUACACACAUCCUGAAAACCCCUACUCACCCCCACACAGAGCUUUAAAUAGCCUGGGUUUCCCCUAAUUAAUUGAACCAGUUGCCCAAAGCUGUUCCCCCUUAUGUGUUCUUUGCCUGCACACUGGCCCAUGACCAAGGUCCUGCCUCCUUGCCUGGCUGAGCUUCCCUCCCUCCAGUCUGGCCUGGUUGCGCAACAGGCCUGGCUACCCCUGGGGAGAACUGGACAUGGGUCAGCAGAAUACAUCUCAGGUAGGGGAUCUCUGCCGUUUUGGUGGUACUGUAAGACUUGACCAGUCUUAUCUUACCAGACCCCCCUCAAUGGGCCACACGGAGACGGAAAUUGAUGCAAGAUGCAAGAGUAAUUUUUAUUAAAACCAGCAUGCUAGGGCCAUUCUGCACAUGAAGAGAGAAUGGCCUCAACCCUCGUGCUGUGCAGGCCUUUCUAUCCUCUUCAGGGCCACCGCCAUUAAGCAGAAUGUGAUUGGCAAAACAGUGUUAUAUACAAACUAAUUGGUCAUUAGGUGACGAGGUAGGUGGCCAGCGGUCAGUCCUUCGGAAUGCAUUCCCACCCUUAGGUCAGUGUCCCCCUACCCUUUGUGGUCUGAGGAAUAUAACUCAGCCUUUGACCUUUUUAAAAUUCCUGAGUUAACUCUUUCAGUACCAGGAUGCCACUGUGACAAGGUCUUCUACAGCGGCGUUCUGCUCACGCAGUCUCUGACCUACUCACAGCCCUUUCAACUCUUCAUCCAAUUUGGAGUAUAUGCCUUAUUCCUGAGGACACUUACGGAUGUGUUGUGUGUCUUGGCCUCUUGGUGUCUCUCACAGCUUUCCAUCUGAGUCAAGGACCUUGGAUGGGGCACAUGUGCAUGUGAGCUAGGAAGGCAGUUGCCAGAGGAUGGGUUGAUGUCAACAGAUUCUUUAGACGGUGGCCUUGAUCUAACUUUGGGGGAGGGGCCUUGGGAGUUGCAAAUAGGGGCACCUACCAGAGGGGCAAUGCCAUAGAUUUGUUCAACCUGUUAACAGGGUAGGUAAGAUGUGCUCCUUCCGUGCUCUGCUCCCUUAGUCCUCUUCCUAAGAAAAAAAAAAUAUAUAUAUAUUGAAGGGGGCUUAAAAAGAGAGAAAGAGGGGGUUAGAGAAUGUGGCACAGUGGUGUGGAGGAAGGGGGUGCCCAGGCCGACCCGUGCCCAAGCACCUCUUCCCCCUGAGGGACCACACGCACACAGACGUGGUAUAGAAUAGAGUUUAUUCAGGCCAGAGGAUGGGAGUUAGAGAGGCAGAGAGAGAGAGGGAAAGUAGAGGAAUGGAGGAGUGGAGGCCGGCCAUGACCAUGUGGAGAGAGGGGGGAGGGGGAGAGCCCAAGAGGGCCGGAGAGGUGGGAGUGCGAUGGGAGAGAGCGAGGAGAGAGAGGGGAGGGGCAAGUAGCCCCUUUUAUAGUGGGCCAGGUCUAUGGGGCGGGGCAUACCUGGCUACUGCCAGGUAAGUGUGGGGUGGAGCUUAGACAGAAUACCAACAUAUAUACUUGAUGAGUGAGAGAGACAGAGACAGAGACAGGGAGAGAUGAGAGAACAGAGAGACAGAGAGACAAAUUCUUAUUUUAUUUGUCUGUUUGUUUAUUGAGACAGGGUCUCUCUACAUAGUCCCGACUGUCCUUGAAUUCACUAUGUAGAUCUUGCUGACUUUGAACUCACAGAGACAGCUGAGCCUAGGACAAGCCUCAGUUUCCCCUCCUAUAAAAUGAGAACAUCAGACUUACUGAUCCCCAGAUUCUCUGUGAACCUUGACACUGUAGGAUCUCUGUCCAUAUGCAUCUACUACAAUGGUAGAUCACACAGGGGUGUGCAGAGAGCGCUUGAACAAGGGCCUAUUCCUUUCCUCAUGGGAAUAUUUAGUAGACUGCAUCUUCAUUGUGAACAUCUGUUUAUCCACAUGG